rnacentral:rRNA from 1 species
GAUGAACGCUGGCGGCGUGCUUAACACAUGCAAGUCGAACGGAGUGGCGCACGGGUGAGUCACACGUGAGUAACCUGUCCUUUUCUUUGGGAUAAGCUUCCGAACGGGUGUUUAAUACCUUAUAGGGUGGGCUCGCGGUCUAUCAGCUUGUUGGUGGGGUGAGGGCUUACCAAGGCUUUGACGGGUAGCCGGCCUGAGAGGGUGGUCGGUCAAAUUGGGACUGAGGUACGGCCCAGACGGCUGCGGGAGGCAGCAGUGGGGGAUAUUGCACAAUGGGCGGAAGCCUGAUGCAGCGACGCCGCGUGGGGGAUGAAGGCCUUCGGGUUGUAAACUUCUGUUGCUCUGAACGUGUAGGGGUUGAAUAGCGCCGGCUAACUACGUGCCAGCCGCCGCGGUAAUUC